GAUGAACGCUGGCGGCGUGCUUAAUACAUGCAAGUCGAGCGAACAGACGAGGCGCUUGCUCCUUUGACGAUAGCGGCGGACGGGUGAGUAACACGUAUGUAACCUCCUUAUAAGACUGGGAUAACUUCGGGAAACCGGAGCCAAUACCGGAUAAUAUUCCGAACCGCAUGGUUCGAUAGUGAAAGAUGGCUUUGCUAUCACUUAUAGAUGGACCUGCGCCGUAUUAGCUAGUUGGUACGGUACCGGCUUACCAAGGCAACGAUACGUAGCCGACCUGAGAGGGUGACCGGCCACACUAGACCUGAGCCACGGUCCAGACUCCUACGGGAGGCAGAAGUAGGGAAUCUUCCGCAGUGGGCGAAAGCCUGACGGAGCAACGCCGCGUGAGUGAUGAAGGUCUUCGGAUCGUAAAACUCUGUUAUUGGGGAAGAACAAACGUGUAAGUAAAUGUGCACGUCUUGACGGUACCUAAUCAGAAAGCAACGGCUAACUACGUG
rnacentral:rRNA from 1 species